UUUCGUACGAAUCUCAUGUCCUUCUACUUUGGAGGUUUUGAGAAUGUCUAAAAGUGGCAUUUCUGAAACUUUCCAAUAUUUCGUUUUAGUGGCCUCUAUUAUCAUACAUCCAAAUGUGCCUCAAUAUGUGUUCACUGGAAAACCAUAUAAUUUGAAAAAAGGCGCUAGCUGCUAGCAAUUGGGUAAAUUGCCCUCUAGAAUUAAGUUAAUCAUAGAGAGAUACGUCUAGUUUUCGGAAGCUGAUCCUUGAGUUGUGUUGCUUCAUAAAAGGUUUAGAUGCAUAUGAUAGUUUGUACUAUUGUCUCUGAAAUGAAGCAUAAACGUGAAGUUAAAUAUCAGGACAUGGCUUGCCAGUCUUAAGUGAAGAAUCUACCCUGGCAUCUUCUGAUACCGGCAAAAAAAUUUGGGUCUCUGAUUCUUCACCAUCUGAGGUACUGUGUUGCUCCGUGUGUGUUAUUCCUCUUGCAGAAAACUUCACGACCCAAUAUUUCAUAACAAAUAGCAUUAGCAAAAAUCCAUUUUCCGUUUUGUAAUCCCAACUCCCAAGCAAUUACUGGGGUUAGCAACUGCCGGAGUAAUCGGCAAGUGACAACACCUAACAGCUACUUCCCGUGGUCAUGUAUUAUUCUGGUAUUGUAUACCUGCAUUUUUUUCAAUUUUUCAAAUGCCCCUUUACCUCUGUGUCUGUUCUUUCCUGUUUGAUGUGCUCUAUGAAGGAACUGUAUCACAGAAUGGUGCAAAGAAAAACAAGCAUGCCCUCUUUGCCACACCUACAUAAUACACUCAAGCUCAGUUUGUUGUAUCAAUCAAACUUCUAGAAUCGUCUUCUGCAGUCAUUUGCAUAUGGGAAGAAAAUAUUAGACAGGUGUGCUUGAACGAAGUCAAUCUUUGGUGGUCACUGCACCCUCCCAUCAAGUAGUUAAUUUAACUAGAAAUAUAGAUACAUUACAUGUCUUGUGUGGUUCUCAAAAAGUCACAGAAACACACACAACGCCAAUUUGAUAUUUCUGUUUUAGCGUUAGGAAAAUUAUUGUCCAUUCCGUCCAUCUUGUGUUUUUAUAUUCUUAUUAAUGGAAGGCUGCUAGAAAUAGUUCUCCAUUUAGACCAUGGACUUUCGAGGGAGCUUAUCAACCGCAGACUUCCUGGAGUAUGCAGUAAUUUUUAUUUACCUUGUUGCACUCUUAAAAGGGUAGUGCAUUUUUUAUGAGAUUGA